UUAAAUGGCCGCAGUAAUUUGACUGUGCAAAGGUAGCAUAAUCAAUAGUUUUUUAAUUGAAAGCUUGUAUGAAGGGUUGGACGAAAUAAUAUCUGUCUUUAUUUAAUAAUUAUUAAAAUUUAAUUUUUAAGUUAAAAAGCUUAGAUAAUUAUAAAAGACGAGAAGACCCUAUAGAGCUUUAUAUAUUUAAAUUUAUAAAUAUUUAAGAUUUAUUAUUUUUAUAGUUUUAAAUAUAUUUUAUUGGGGUAAUAGAAAGAUUUAAUUAAUUCUUAUUUUUAUUUUUAUUUAUUUAUAUUUUUAAUGAUCCAUUAUUAUUGAUUAUAAGAUUAAGUUACCUUAGGGAUAACAGCGUAAUUUUUUUAGAGAGUUCAUAUUGAUAAAAAAGUUUGCGACCUCGAUGUUGGAUUAAAGAUUAAUUUAGGUGCAAAAGUUUAAAUUUUUGGUCUGUUCGACCAUUAAAUCUUUACAUGAUCUGAGUUCAGACCGGUUUAAGCCAGGUCGGUUUCUAUCUUUAUUAAAGUAAAAUAUUUUAGUACGAAAGGACCAAAUAUUAAUUAUAUUAAUUUUAUUUUUGAAUAAUAAUAAUUAUUUUGGCAGAUUAGUGCAAUGAAUUUAGAAUUCUUUUAUGUAAAUUAUAUUUACAAAUAAUACUUGUUUAUAUUAGAUAGAAUUUUUUUAUUUAUUAAUAUUUUAUUGUUAAUUAUUUGUGUAUUAGUAAGUGUAGCUUUUUUAACAUUAUUAGAACGGAA
rnacentral:rRNA from 1 species